ACAGAUCAUGAGGGGUGCCUUAAUACAACGGGCUGAGAUCAUACCCACAAGACCUGAUCCGGGUAGUGCCGGCGAAGGGAAAUGAGUAACCAAUUGC
rnacentral:ncRNA from 2 species